CCUACGGGCGGCAGCAGUGGGGAAUAUUGGGCAAUGGGCGCAAGCCUGACCCAGCAACGCCGCGUGAAGGAAGAAGGCUUUCGGGUUGUAAACUUCUUUUCUCAGGGACGAAGCAAGUGACGGUACCUGAGGAAUAAGCCACGGCUAACUACGUGCCAGCAGCCGCGGUAAUACGUAGGUGGCAAGCGUUAUCCGGAUUUACUGGGUGUAAAGGGCGUGUAGGCGGGAAAGCAAGUCAGAUGUGAAAACCAUGGGCUCAACCUGUGGCCUGCAUUUGAAACUGUUUUUCUUGAGUACUGGGGAGGCAGACGGAAUUCCUAGUGUAGCCGUGAAAUGCGUAGAUAUUAGGAGGAACACCAGUGGCGAAGGCGGUCUGCUGGACAGCAACUGACGCUGAGGCGCGAAAGCGUGGGGAGCAAACAGGAUUAGAUACCCCAGUAGUC
rnacentral:rRNA from 1 species